CAAGAUGAACGCUGGCGGCGUGCCUAAUACAUGCAAGUCGAACGGAGAUAUUCGCUGAUGAAGUACUUCGGUAAUGAAUCUUGGAUAUCUUAGUGGCGGACGGGUGAGUAACGCGUGAGCAACCUGCCUUUCAGAGGGGGAUAACGUUUGGAAACGAACGCUAAUACCGCAUGACAUUAUCUUAUCGCAUGGUAGGAUAAUCAAAGGAGCAAUCCGCUGAAAGAUGGGCUCGCGUCCGAUUAAGUAGUUGGUGGGGUAACGGCCCACCAAGCCGACGAUCGGUAGCCGGACUGAGAGGUUGGACGGCCACAUUGGGACUGAGACACGGCCCAGACUCCUACGGGAGGCAGCAGUAAGGGAUAUUGGUCAAUGGGGGAAACCCUGAACCAGCAACGCCGCGUGAGGGAAGACGGUUUUCGGAUUGUAAACCUCUGUCCUCUGUGAAGAUGAUGACGGUAGCAGAGGAGGAAGCUCCGGCUAACUACGUGCCAGCAGCCGCGGUAAUACGUAAGGAGCGAGCGUUGUCCGGAUUUACUGGGUGUAAAGGGUGCGUANGCGGCUUGGCAAGUCAGUAGUGAAAUCCAUGGGCUUAACCCAUGAACUGCUAUUGAAACUGUCGAGCUUGAGUGAAGUANAGGUANGCGGAAUUUCCGGUGUANCGGUGAUAUGCGUANAGAUCGG
rnacentral:rRNA from 1 species